UACGGGGGGAGCAAGCGUUGUUCGGAUUUACUGGGCGUAAAGCGCACGUAGGCGGCUUUCUAAGUCAGGGGUGAAAUCCUGGAGCUCAACUCCAGAACUGCCUUUGAUACUGGGGAGCUCGAGUCCGGAAGAGGUGAGUGGAACUCCGAGUGUAGAGGUGAAAUUCGUAGAUAUUCGGAAGAAACACCGAGUGGCGAAGGCGGCUACACGUGGUCCGGUACGUGACGCUGAGGUGCGAAAAGCGUGGGGAGCAAACAGGGAU
rnacentral:rRNA from 1 species